UUUUGUUAUGUGUGCAUACCGUCAAUAAGUUUAAAACGUAAAUGCGAAAACUCGCGGGGCACCGAUAGCUGCAUGCAAGGGAUAGCGGCUUGAAAGCAGACACAGUGCGUGAAAUUUGCUUGCCAACAUCGGAGAAUCGGCUGUUUCCGCUCCUCAUUGCCACUUGUCAAAGUGUACCGAAAACGAACGACUGCAAAUUUGGCUGGUGCAUCGAAAAGUCGUGCGGUCGAGGAUCGACCGGCUCAAAAAUCCAGGCGGACGGAACACGGUGAAGAUUCGAACAGAAGCUAAACUACUCGCCAAGCGCCAGGCAGCAGCGGAGUGCGCCAAAAUCUCCAUUCCCCGAAGCGCAACCGUGCUCCAUCGUCGGGAGGAUUGGACUCGCGGCGAAAUCGGAAAAUAAAUCCCGGAGAAAGCUACCAACCAACGGACCGCUUCUGUAGCUGGAAACGCGGCGUCAGGGAGCGGCAUAAUCGAUCCUAGUGGUUCGAGACAGCGGUGGAGGCACGUCCAACAGGCCGACCCACGAAUCGCACACGUGAUCCACUGGAACAAAUUACUGAGGUAAGUGGGAUCUGAAAGGUAUUGUCGAGGCGAACAAUCAACCAACAAAUUUGUGUUCUCCAACUGUAGGCCACGAGCUUGAGAAGCGUUGCUGGCGAAGGAAGGAGGCGAGAUUUGCGAAUCACCGGCCGGAUGUGAGGUUGGUGGCUGCGGAGAAGCCGAUCCCGUCACGAAGCAGCUGGAUUGCCAGAGACCAGGUGGCAAGAACUAGUUGGCCUAGAUCUCCAAAAAUAUCAUUUUCCGAGCGAGAUCGUCGCUUCCCGGAGUGAUCCCAGCCAUACGCACAAACGGUGCGAAACAGAAAGCCCUCCAAUAGAGGGCUUUUUGUUUACAGCCUCAACACGUCGCAGCGCUCUCGAACAACAAUCGGAUCGGAAUCCGGCAGCGAGUAACGGAAUGCUUCGAAGGGAGGCCGUCCGCGAGGAGGACAUUACUGGACCUAUAGUCUAGAUCCACCGCGGAGCGUUGGUGGCCACGUUCCGAUCCCUGCGGAUUCGGUUCCGGAUUGCAUGUACACAGAUCCCGCAGCUAUUCGACGAGGAGUGGCACCGGAGUUUCGAGGCUCGUCGGUAAGGAAGACGACAGCUCUGAAGAAGCGAGGAAGCAGCCAAGAAGAAGAGAAAGGGUGCACCCAAGAAGAUAUGAGUGAGUACGGAAACUGGGGAAGAGAAAAUGAAUGAGAAAAGGCAAGGAAGAGAAUCAGUGUAGGAGUUAGGGCUCAGAAUGAGCAGGAUUAUGUGAGGAAGGGCAUGGCAAAAUAAAAGGUGUUGCACACUGGAAAUUUGCGUUUGUGGCGUAUUAAUGUUGCUAGCCGGUCCGAUCAAUGCCCCUUUAUUAUCAGCAAAGAUCGUUCC